GGUAGUCCACGCCCUAAACGAUGCACACUAGACCGGAGCGGCUCUGACGUCGUUCUGGUCGCAGAGAAAUUGAUAAGUGUGCCGCCUGGGGAGUACGGUCGCAAGGCUAAAACUCAAAGAAAUUGACGGGGGCUCACACAAGCGGUGGAGCAUGUUGCUUAAUUCGAAGCAACGCGAAGAACCUUACCUGGGUUUGACAUGCACGGAUUAACCCCAUGAAAGUGGGGCCACACUCGCAAGAGUGGAACGUGCACAGGUGCUGCAUGGCUGUCGUCAGCUCGUGCUGUGAAGUGUCGGGUUAAG
rnacentral:rRNA from 1 species